GACGGAGGAUGCAAGCGUUAUCCGGACUGAUUGGGCGUAAAGCGUCUGCAGGUGGCAGUUCAAGUCUGCUGUCAAAGACCGGGGCUUAACUUCGGAAAGGCAGUGGAAACUGAACAGCUAGAGUAUGGUAGGGGCAGAGGGAAUUCCUGGUGUAGCGGUGAAAUGCGUAGAGAUCAGGAAGAACAUCGGUGGCGAAGGCGCUCUGCUGGACCAUAACUGACACUCAGGGACGAAAGCUAGGGGAGCGAAUGGG
rnacentral:rRNA from 1 species